rnacentral:lncRNA from 1 species
UCUGGAGUAGCAGCAUGUUUCUGUUUACCAGAUCGUAAGCAUAUUGGGUGCGAGGCUUUAGCCUGAGGAGGGCUCAUGGUAUUUAUAUUCACAUACAUAUAGAUAAAGGCUGCUCCAAAAGUACUGCCUCCUUUUUUUUUUUUAUAUUGGCCCAUGGCAUCAGAGGUAGAUGUUUGUGGUAUGGCAGUAAAGGCUGAACCUUCCUACCUUCCACCUUGAAAGGUACCUGGCAAUUCUGGAAAUGCCUGUCAAGUAGUGAAAAUUUUCAGUAUUUCUAGACAGAAGGAGAAAAAGUUUUAGAAAAUCCACGUAUUAGUCUUUGGUAACUUUUCUAGGCAUCAUUCUAUUUUCCUUUUUUUCCCAUUGCACUGGUACUGGUAGAAAUGUAUCCAUCAGUUUUUAACUUUAGUUUCUGUAACAAUUGUUUUAGUAAUCAAACAUAUUAACUAGAGUUAGCACAUUCUCUAAUACUACAAAUUUAUAAUUCCAUGAGGUUGAAGGAAGUCAAAUAAAAAGUAGACCCUUAAAUGGGGAACAUUUUUUUUUAAUAUGGAAAACCAAGCCUAUUUUUAACCUUUGGGCAGCCCAGGCUACUACACAUUUGCUUUUAAGUGCUAGAGAAAGAAAAGAAAUAAAUAACACAAAAACUAGUAUAACAUCCACAGACCUCAAGACAAGGAGCCAAAUAUGCAACCUGCAAAUAUUAUGCAACUGAGCUUCAUAUAGAAUUAGAUCAUAGUAACUAUGGAGAAAGCACUGUGAGGAACAGGUUUAUCACAUUGUUUUCAUGGUUGCCAGUUGGAUGCAGAACUAUAUAAAAUCAGUGAGACCUUUCAGGACAACCACUCACUAUCUGCUAUGUGUUAUGUUUUUCCUCCCACACACAAAGGCACACCAGGUCAGCAGACCCUGUCCUCUGGAAAAUGAUCUUGGGUGUUUUACACUGAAGGCUUAAAGGAGUUACUGCUUUGUGAUCCAGCCUAACAAGACGGAACUCCCAUUGGUAUCCUGCAAAUAGCCUUCUAUUGUCACUGUAUAUUUAUUAUUCUACAUUGUUUGUGGCAUCCUCUCUUUAUCUUCUUAUUUUUGAAUUCUGGAGAUGUUAAAAUAAAUAUGGCUUUGUGAUUUUUGGACCA